rnacentral:snRNA from 1 species
UCUGAAGGCAAUCUGGCUGCAACAUCUGUCUCUCCAUUGAUCAGCCGGGUUUAUUUGGCUGAUGUGACUGGCUAAGCGGGUGUCUCUUUCCUCCCUCACUGCUUUAUGUGCAUCCCUCCUAAAGCUGAAUGCUUGAUCCAAGAGGAUGACCAUCCCCUCUAGAGGAGGACUCUUCUGUCAUGGAUGGACGAGUAGCUGCGCUUCCCUGCUAGAACCUCCAGCAAGCUCUCAAGUUCAUUUCCUGAAACUUUCUUGACAAUAUCAGCCAAGCUCUACUUCUUUCUAGAAGCAGCAUUUCUCAUUUCUUCAGGAAGAAUACUGGGCCAA